CAAAUAUACUGUGAAAUUGUAAAGGUUGGAUAGUCAAAAUGAGCAAAAUGUUUCUCUUACAGAGUCUGAGUAAACUCCAGAAUACACAGUUACUGUUACUGAGGCUGAAGGCUUAACAAUAUCCCAAAUUUGACAUUUAUUUAGAUAACAGGUGAACUUUGCAUAAAGUAAGAAAGCAUGGCUAUAUGGACUGUAUGUUUCAAAGGUCAGAUAUAUAAUAAUGAAUAACAGUAAUUAUUUUGAAAUCAAAGUUUUUAUUCUUGACUUUAACAGCAAUGAGAGGAAAGUAGCUGGUCAGAAAGGAAGGAUGGGAAAAUCUGUGGUAAAGAGCUGACCCAGUGAUCCAGUGCUGGACCUGUACAGCUGCGAUGGGCAAGAAAAGCCUUCUUUUGGAAGUAAAAAAGAAAAAUCUCAUUUUUCUCAAGUUCAGCUCACCUUGCCAGCCAUGCUGGCUCAAAAGCAAAGGAAAUGGAGUUGAUGUGCUCACCUCAUCUGUCUGUGAGUGACUAUAAUUAGCAGUAACUGUAAAUAAUGAG
ensembl:lncRNA